UUUCAGUAUCUUUGUUGAUUUAUUCGAGACAUAAUGGUUCUAAGAACUAAAAUAGAUUUCAGUUUAAGUUUUCCGAACUAAGAUAAAAGACACAUUUGGUCGGUGUCGGCUUAAGCAUUUUCGUAUAUGUUUAUUUUUUUUAACUAUGCAUCUUAAUCUAUAAUCUAUAAAAAUAGGAGUACAAAAAAGAAAUAGCCCUGACUGUUCCUAAAGAAUUACAACUGAAUGCCACUGAUCUUUUUGUCGUUUAAUUAUAAACUAUCCAAAAUCGAUAUGCUUUGAUUCCAUGUUCAAUCGUUACAUAAAAGUAAAACCAAAUACAUAUAACUUAAUAUAUCCAUAUUUAGAAAACGAAAAUUAGACCUUUCCUUACCCAACAUCUCUCCUUUAUAUCGCCGGAGUUUAGUGCUGAUUUGGCUCCCGACUAGCUCGUGCUCUUGGCUCCGGGAAACGGUUGCUCUCUCAUAACUGUUUUGCUGGCUUCUGGUUCUAUCGCCUCAUCCCACCUUGUGUUUUCCGUCGGAUCUUUACGGUGUGAGGUUUUAAAGCGAUUUGGUGAUCCUUCGUGCUGCGGAUCUUGAGCUUUUGUUGUCAGCAGUUUUGUUGAUCUGGCUUCCUGUUCUGGUGUGUCCCGGUGGACGGCCGUUUUGAAUUCGACGGACUUUCCUUUGGCUGAAGUUGGCGACAUUUCUGUAUCUUCACACGUAUUGACUCCGGUGGAGCUCUCGACUAUAGGCCGCCAACUUCCUUGGGCUAUCUUUUGUAUGCUGGGCUUUAUGCCUCUUUGUUUUUAUAUUUCUGCCUUUGGGCCUUUUUAUGUAUUUGGACCUUUGUUUAAUAAUCAAAGAUGACAAAAAAACCUCUCCUUACCAA